GAAAUUCUUUUAAUGUUGGAGUUGCUAAGGAGCCAUCAACAUGGAGAGGGAACCUGCCUAAGGAUGAAAUUAUCAAAGCAAACCACACUGAGAGACUGAGCAGGAAAUUAACAUCCAUAUCUCUGCCGUUUGAAGAGAAGAUGGCACCAAGCUAAAUCAAGUGAUGUGCUGGUGUUGGCUCCAAAGCAUGCCAGGAGCAAUGUCGAGGAGCAUGGUGGCCAAAGGUGGACAAUAUUUGGGGUGAUAUUGACAUAAUAUUCCUAAAACUCACAACAAAUCACAUUGUCUUUACUUAUGUAAUGAAGUAAAAUGUUUCUGCAUGAUUCAUUUUAACCAACAUUUCUUCCAAACAACUGUAAAUUCCAUUACUAAGGGGUU